GAGAGGGACCGGGGGGGUUGUCUGAGGGGGGCUGAGGGGGGCCGGGGGUUGUCUGAGGGGAGCCUCAGGCCCCCCGGCUCCCCUCAGACAACCCCCGGCCCCCUCAGCCAGGAGAGGUGCCGUGUGAGGUGAGACGGCUGCUCCGAGGGAGAUGUACCAUCUCAACACCACAUAUCAGCACAGAUACAGGUAAUUAUGUGGGAAAACCCCUAAUUAUCUGCUUAGCGUUUUGACAACUCAACACCUCCCACAACUAAAGACCUGCUUAGAGAGAGACAUGCUUUCCCUGAGAUGCAGCUGAAAUAUUCCAAAAACGAUGCAUGAAAAGCAGAAGGAAGCAUCCCUCCAUUCAGUAAGUCUCACAAAGUGAAGUUUUUUGGGACCGGUAUGGUCACAUCUCUCAUACGGUGAAGAAAAUGAACCCAGACAGCAGCCCGGUAGCCUGAUUCCCUUAAGGUGAUUUUUAGAACAGAAAUGGGCUUGCUGCCUUGCUGCUCCUGGAAGCAUCUCUUUCGGAGAGACUGAAUGUGGUACAACAUAAAAGGCAGCAAUGUUUCCUGGGUUAAAGCAUUGGUUUUUUUAAUGACCUACUCCAUUACCAUUCGAGCAGAUGGGUAUUAGUAUGCGCAGCUGGGGAUCUGUUUUUACACUUCUGCAUGUGUUUUGGGGCACGCUUCUGGGCUGGGAGAGAGGUAAAUCAGAACUCCAGUUAGAGACUCAAACUGUCUCUCAUGGAGCAUUAGGUUACCUUUAUUACUGUAACGCUUUUUCAUAGAGCUUGAAAUUCAGUAUCUUUGAUGCUUUCCUAAGUGAGGGAAAGAAUUAUUACGAAAAAGGCAUAGUAACAUUCUUUACUACGCUGUUUUCUGUGCUACCCAAUGCAUUUAAUUGCCCUGACUCUGUUGGUGAUUAUGAUUUUCCUACCUGAAAUAUUUUCAAUAAAUAAUAGUUUGUAUCUUCACGUUCUGUGGUGUGCUGUUUUCUUUCUUUCCAUUGGGGUAGCCGAUGCAAAUGUAGUUCUUUUCUUUUUUCCUUUCCUUCCCAGAAACUCUGUGCGGUUUCUGUUUUGUCCCUUCUGCAGCUUGCUUUAUUCCUUUAUGUUGCUUGUUAACAAAUUCUUUAUUACAAAUACUGAAGUACCUCAAGAGAAAUGGGCCGUGUUUUGAGUGAAAAUGUAAGACAAAGACAGCCGUAUUGGGUCAAGCCAAGAGCUCAUCUAGCCCAGUAUCCUUUGACAGUGCCUUUGCUUUGCAAAGACUAUGAGAACAAGGCAAGAAUAAGUGAUGCUUCUCAGGAGUGCUCUCACAGCUUCCCGCCAUGUACAGCUCCCUGAUUUCCUGAGACGGCAGAGGUACUUUCUGGGUUGUUAGUAAACUUUCAGUAGAUUUCUGUUCCGCAGUUUCCCCAUAAGCCCAUGUCAGGCACAGGCAAGGCUCUGAACACUACUUAAUUUUUAUAUAUUUUUUUGUGACUGUACUCCUACCCUAGUCUAAUGAUUGUUUUCCUGUGAUACACUAUGUUUUGUUCCAGACAGAAGUACAAACAUGUUCUUUUCCCAUCCCUUCUUUUGAUGUUAUUUAGCUUUCUGUCUUCAUCCUCAGAGAGUCUGUGUAACUUGUGUGGCAGUUUCAUCCAGGACUUGUAUUAGGAAAAAAAUAAAAGUUUGUUCUCAUUCAUACUAGAAGAUGGUAGAUACCAUUCAUACUAGAAGAUGGUAAAGUUUUAGUAAAUUCAAUUUCAGUAAGUUCACCAUCCAAGAGAAAGUGUGCAGCUAUGCAGUUUGCUUUUUUUUUUUACUUCAGUUUUAAUUGAAACUGUCAAUAACUUAUGCAGCAAAUUAAGUUUCUUUUAUCUAAUUUAGAGACCAAGCUGCUCCUCUGCACCUGGGUUAUAUUCUAUACAGAAAGGUUAACUUGAGAUUAAUUUGACAUCUCUCCUAGUUUUACAAUGCACUGCUUUACUUAACAUCAUAUCUGCAGUCACACAGCUGCUUAUUAGAGGGUAAUGGCAUUUUUCAUAUAUUUUAAAGGGGAAAGUGUUUAUAAAUUUUUGCAGAGGGAGCAGGCUAAUUUUUUCCUUACUGGGACACUUGCCAUGUUUGUCUGCAGUAUUUUCUGUUUAGCUGGAAGAAACCAAGAUCCAGUCUUUCCUCAUUUACCCUUACCGUGAUGACAGCUCCAGUGUUACUUUUCAAAUGAAAUACAAAGCAUGAUUCCCCUUAGCUGACACUGGAGGGGUCUGAGCAGUGCCAAUUGUUUCCUGAUGCUAUCAGUUUGCUGCACGCACUUCAUUUCUCACAGCAGCACUCUGGAGGUAGAACGAGUGGCUGAGGACAUGAUGGGAGUGGAGGAAGCGCAGGCUGUGGAAGGGCAAGCAGCAAGAUGAAGCAGGGAUUGCUGCUGAGAGAUGAUGAGAACAACCAGCAGCGCCUCAGAUAAGAGCACAGGAGCAUCUGACAAGCCCUAGGAGUGAGCUGCUGUUUGAGAGCUGGACUUCUGAUGAACCAUUGUUGAGCUCCGUGGCUUGUCCUAAGACAAAAGAUUGCUGUGGCAGAUGUUAAUAGUAAGAAUACAAAAUAAAUCUUGAAGGAGGAGCAUAUCUUAGUCUAACAAUGCCUGGUUGCUAAAUCUAUUUGCUGAGUACUGGGUAAAUGUACACAUAAGUGAGGCAAGCAUUGCAACAGCACCCAGAUAUUCUCACAGAUUCAACACAUUGUGUUGCAUCAGCAUGGUUGUCUGUUUACUGCCGGGCGCUGUUUCUUUUCUUACAGAGCCCCUGCCCAAACUCUGACUAUGCCAGCUGCUGCGUACAUCAAGCUUGGGGUGGUAUGGUUGGAGGCUGAAACGUGUUGGAGACUUCAGCGAAAGGUCCCCGUUAGCCCCUGGAGAGCCAAUUAUGACAUUUGGAGUCCGUUUAUUUUUCUGUUGACUUCCUUGAAGAUGUGUUAUGAGCAGUGAUUCAUCCACCAGUUCUUCCAAGUCCCGUGGGACCUGUGAAAGCAUUGUUAAAAUUGCUGUGUUUCUUUUCCAUUUCCUGUGAAGCACUCGCUGUUGGGGACAGGUUGCUGGGCUACAAGGCACUGCUGGACGCCUUCCACAGCCACUAUCAAAAUGUUAUCUGCUGGGUGUAACGUCCAUGACAAUCCCCCUGAAAAUCCCAGCCUUUCAGUUUUGUAGGAAAAUUACCUUUCCUAUGGAGGACACAGGGUGUGAGGCUGGCUGUGGGAAGUAUUCCCAGGGAAUAAAGGCUGGGAGUGUACUGAGAGCAGCAUUGCUCUUUCACGUGUCAGAAUAAAAAAACAUAAAAUUUUGUUCUUGCUUGUUGAGCAGAAAGUGCAGUAAAAUGGGAGCCAGGGCUAGGGAAAACUGGAGUAGAAGCUGCAGCGAUGUUGGGACAGCUAGGGAUGGAGGCAGGAGGGUCCUUUAUGAAAGAUCCAUGUAAGAAGUCACACUUGAGUGAGAGCUUAUAUUGAAGUGCUUUGUUUUGCUGUUAUUUGCAUUCAUGAAAAAGCAAAGUCUGGAAAGCGUGGAAGCCUAAACUCAGAGGCUCUGUUUUCUGCUAGAGCCUCUUUUGUAGAGUCCUCCUCGGGUUAUUGUUAUGAGUGCAGGGUUCCUGGCUUUGCUUUCUUUUUCUGUGGGGCAAAGUAGUUUUCAGCA